rnacentral:rRNA from 1 species
UACGUAGGGUGCAAGCGUUAAUCGGAAUUACUGGGCGUAAAGCGCGUGUAGGCGGCUAUGCAAGUCGGGCGUGAAAUCCCACGGCUCAACCGUGGAAGUGCACCCGAAACUGCGUAGCUAGAGUCCUGGAGAGGAAGGUGGAAUGCUUGGUGUAGAGGUGAAAUUCGUAGAUAUCAAGCGGAACACCGGUGGCGAAGGCGGCCUUCUGGACAGUGACUGACGCUGAGACGGCGAAAGCGUGGGGAGCAAACAGG